rnacentral:misc_RNA from 1 species
GAUGAAGAACGCAGCGAAAUGCGAUAAGUAAUGUGAAUUGCAGAAUUCAGUGAAUCAUCGAAUCUUUGAACGCACCUUGCGCCCUUUGGCCAUUCCGAAGGGCAUGCCUGUUUGAGUAUCAUGAACACCUCAACUCCUCAUGGUCUUCUAUGAUGAGCUUGGACUUUGGGGGCUUGCUGGCCCAUUUGGUCAGCUCCUCUCAAAUGAAUCAGCCUACCAGUGUUUGGUGGCACCACAGGUGUGAUAACAAUCUACGCUUGAGGUUUUCCACCAGGCAACCUUCAGUAAUUGGGGUUCACUGGGGCUCACAAAUGUCUUUCUUCAGUGAGGACAGCUCUUUGAAUGUUUGAUCUCAAAUCAGGUAGGACUACCCGCUGAACUUAAGCAUAUCAAUAAGCGGAGGA